GAUGAACGCUGGCGGCGUGCUUAACACAUGCAAGUCGAACGGGAAAUAUUUCAUUGAGACUUCGGUGGAUUUGAUCUAUUUCUAGUGGCGGACGGGUGAGUAACGCGUGGGUAACCUGCCUUAUACAGGGGGAUAACAGUCAGAAAUGGCUGCUAAUACCGCAUAAGCGCACAGAGCUGCAUGGCUCAGUGUGAAAAACUCCGGUGGUAUAAGAUGGACCCGCGUUGGAUUAGCUUGUUGGUGGGGUAACGGCCCACCAAGGCGACGAUCCAUAGCCGGCCUGAGAGGGUGAACGGCCACAUUGGGACUGAGACACGGCCCAGACUCCUACGGGAGGCAGCAGUGGGGAAUAUUGCACAAUGGGGGAAACCCUGAUGCAGCGACGCCGCGUGAAGGAAGAAGUAUCUCGGUAUGUAAACUUCUAUCAGCAGGGAAGAUAGUGACGGUACCUGCCUAAGAAGCCCCGGCUAACUACGUGCCAGCACCCGCGGUAAUACGUAGGGGGCAAGCGUUAUCCGGAUUUACUGGGUGUAAAGGGAGCGUACACGGUGUGGCAAGUCUGAUGUGAAAGGCAUGGGCUCAACCUGUGGACUGCAUUGGAAACUGUCAUACUUGAGUGCCGGAGGGGUAAGCGGAAUUCCUAGUGUAGCGGUGAAAUGCGUAGAUAUUAGGAGGAACACCAGUGGCGAAGGCGGCUUACUGGACGGUAACUGACGUUGAGGCUCGAAAGCGUGGGGACCC
rnacentral:rRNA from 1 species